rnacentral:rRNA from 1 species
UACGGAGGGUGCGAGCGUUGUCCGGAAUCACUGGGCGUAAAGGGCGCGUAGGCGGCCUGAUAAGUCGGGGGUGAAAUCCUGCGGCUUAACCGCAGGGCUGCGUUCUAAACUGUCAGGCUAGAGCACAGUAGAGGCAGGUGGAAUUCCCGGUGUAGCGGUGGAAUGCGUAGAGAUCGGGAAGAACAUCAGUGGCGAAGGCGGCCUGCUGGGCUGUUGCUGACGCUGAGGCGCGACAGCGUGGGGAGCAAACAGG